GAUGAACGCUAGCGGCAGGCUUAAUACAUGCAAGUCAAGGGGGUAGCAAUACAACCGGCGCACGGGUGAGUAACGCGUACACAACAUACCAUAUACUGGAGUAUAGCUUUGGGAAACUGAAGGUAAUCCUCCAUAACAUUGCGAGAGGGCAUCUGAUUGCAAUCAAAGUUUCGGCGGUAUAUGAUUGGUGUGCGUUUGAUUAGCUAGUUGGUAGGGUAACGGCCUACCAAGGCGACGAUCAAUAGCUGGCGUGAGAGCGCGACCAGCCACACUGGAACUGAGACACGGUCCAGACUCCUACGGGAGGCAGCAGUAGGGAAUAUUGGACAAUGGAGGAAACUCUGAUCCAGCCAUGCCGCGUGAUAGAUGAAGGCCCUCUGGGUUAGUAAAUA
rnacentral:rRNA from 1 species